UGAGACACGGCCCAGACUCCUACGGGAGGCAGCAGUGGGGAAUAUUGCGCAAUGGACGAAAGUCUGACGCAGCAACGCCGCGUGAGGGAUGACGGCCUUCGGGUUGUAAACCUCUUUCAGCAGGGACGAAGCGAGAGUGACGGUACCUGCAGAAGAAGGACCGGCCAACUACGUGCCAGCAGCCGCGGUAAUACGUAGGGUCCGAGCGUUGUCCGGAAUUAUUGGGCGUAAAGGGCUCGUAGGCGGUUCGUCACGUCGGGAGUGAAAACUCGGGGCUUAACCCCGAGCCUGCUUCCGAUACGGGCAGACUAGAGGUAGGCAGGGGAGAGCGGAACUCCUGGUGUAGCGGUGGAAUGCGCAGAUAUCAGGAAGAACACCGGUGGCGAAGGCGGCUCUCUGGGCCUUACCUGACGCUGAGGAGCGAAAGCGUGGGUAGCGAACAGGAUUAGAUACCCUGGUAGUCCACGCCGUAAACGUUGGGCGCUAGGUGUGGGGGACAUUCCACGUCCUCCGUGCCGCAGCUAACGCA
rnacentral:rRNA from 1 species